AUUGAACGCUGGCGGCAGGCCUAACACAUGCAAGUCGAGCGGUAGCACAGAGAGCUUGCUCUCGGGUGACGAGCGGCGGACGGGUGAGUAAUGUCUGGGAAACUGCCUGAUGGAGGGGGAUAACUACUGGAAACGGUAGCUAAUACCGCAUAACGUCGCAAGACCAAAGUGGGGGACCUUCGGGCCUCAUGCCAUCAGAUGUGCCCAGAUGGGAUUAGCUAGUAGGUGGGGUAACGGCUCACCUAGGCGACGAUCCCUAGCUGGUCUGAGAGGAUGACCAGCCACACUGGAACUGAGACACGGUCCAGACUCCUACGGGAGGCAGCAGUGGGGAAUAUUGCACAAUGGGCGCAAGCCUGAUGCAGCCAUGCCGCGUGUGUGAAGAAGGCCUUCGGGUUGUAAAGCACUUUCAGCGGGGAGGAAGGCGUUAAGGUUAAUAACCUCAUCGAUUGACGUUACCCGCAGAAGAAGCACCGGCUAACUCCGUGCCAGCCGCCGCGGUAA
rnacentral:rRNA from 1 species